rnacentral:pre_miRNA from 1 species
CGUCAGAUCAUUUUUCAUUUUUUUAUAUAGUGUUUUGACUUUUCGUCUUAUUUAAAAUUCUUUUACGAUUAAUAUUUUUAUUUUUACUAAAUGAUAAAACAUGAAUAGUUUUUUAUACGUGACUAAUUUUUUUAGUUUCUGUAUAAAAUUUUUAAAUAAGACGAAUGGUCAAACGUUGGAUACAGAAAAAC